CCCCCCCCUUCUCCUUCCCCGCCGCACGCCUCGCGACGCCGCCUUCCCCGACGCCCCCUCCUCCCUCGCGACGCCGCCUCCCCGCGGCGCCCUCCGCCCCAACUCGCGGCCCUUGCGACGCGCCGUCUCCCAUGGUUGCCGUCCCCGUCGCCGUCGCCGUCGCCUGCGUGCCCCGACGGCACUGCGACGGUUCUACGGCUUCCCCUUUCCUCCCCGCCGCCCGGCUCCUACCCCGACUUCCAGCGCCUCCUCCCGAGCGUGAACUGCGUUCGCCCAUCCCGCCGCCUUCUCUCCCGAGCGUGAACUCCGCCUGGGCCAUCACGACGACGACGCGGCCGCGCUCGCCCAUCCCGCCGCCUUCUUCAUCGACCCUGGUGAGUUCACUAGGAAUGCGCGUUAGAUCCACCCAUCAUUGCUGAUGAGCCGAAUGAAACAAUCGACGCAAGAGAGGGGAGGAUGGGAUCGGAGGGCCGCGUACCUGGCGGCGACUUCACGGAGGAGGCCGGCACCAGCGGCGGGUCCCGCACACGCCGCCCCUCUCUCCCACUCUCGGACUCUCCCCGUCAGUGCCCAUGGAAUCACAUCCACUGAUCCACCUCAUCUUCGUCGGCGGCGCCGACCCUGGCACCGGCACCGCGCCGCAGUCCGCCGACCCUGGCCGCCGCGGGCGAGGGCCUCUCCGGCUCUGGCGCCGCCACUGAGGACCCCGUCCUCAUCCGCGUCCUCCCCGGAGCCGUCGGCCGUGGCGUCUCCUCUAUCCCGCCCCACCCAUGUCCUCCGCCUCCUUCCUCUCUCCCCUCUCUCUACGGCCCCCAUUCGGCUUCGGGCCUCGGAGUUGGAGAGCAGCUCCAGCCAAGGAAUGGAGAUUGCGGCACUGUCUCGUGCUUCAGAAAUGAUCCGGAUGUUCCAACGACAUCUGACUAUGAUGGUGGCUUCAAGUAUAUUGCCCAAUCAGAGAGCUCCAGUGCUGUGGCGGCAAAAGAGGAGGAGGUGGGAAGUUCAAAUGGGGAGCAGGAGUGAAAUUUCAAGGACAUGGGUUGGUUCCUGCAAGUGCAGAAGGCAAGUAUGUCUUCUUUACUGCAUCCUAACCUGCGUGUAUUUUUCUUAGAAUUUACUUGAUGUAGAUGUAGAAAAUAUCUCUAAGCAAUUCCAUUUCCUCCUCUCCUCUACAUUUCUAGCUUGGCAUUUCACUUGCAUUCCAUUACGUUUAAUUGCUGGAGCAUAGUACUUACUUUGUUAAACAAUAUUAUUCUGCUUCAUGCUACUGUGGAAAUUUGCUUGGCAUUUCACAUGUGUUGUCUGUAACAUGUCCUCUUUUACUACAAUAAAUGUACAGAUCUUAGCAACCAUUAACAUGAGUUUCAGUCUCAGUUUUCGCAUAGACUAAAGAGGUAGUCUUUUUGAAUAAUUUUACAACAUGAUCUAUGUUUGAGUGAUUUAAACAUUCUUUUUUACAAUUUAUAAACUUAUUUUCUGUGAUCAGUAUUGGUCACAUAUUAGUUCUGGUCACACUACUGUGGCAGCAAUCAUUCCCAUUGAAACUGAAGUUUUACAUUCAGGUCAGUCUUCUUUUUUACUUCCCACCUUUCUGUCUAAUAACUCAUUCAUAAUGAAUGAGUUGGUUCACACAUUAAGUGUAUUGAGUAUUAGAAAAGAAAUUUCAGUCAAACUAUGAUUUGAGUGAAAAUAAUUUUUUAGCUCCCUUUCGCAAUUUUGUGUGUACCAAGAGAUAAUUCACACAUUAGUGGUUUGGGCACUCUGAUUACUUUUGAAGAAAGUGGUGCUAGGUCAUGUCUCAAGAAAAGAAACUGUACUCAAGUCAAGUGUAUUGAGUAUUAGAAAAGAAAUUUCAAGUCAUCAGGGAGCAAUGCCUGGUUCAUCUGUCAACAUGAUAGUGACAUAGAUCAUUAUUAUUGAAGUCAUCAAGGAGGAAAUACUUCACUGAUCUAUUGAAUAGGAGUCUGCUAGAAGGUGGAUUUUUAUGCAGUUGCACAUAAGUCUGCAGCCCUGCCCUCGUGAAGGAAGUGUAAGCUGUGUUGGCCCUGGCCGCCCGGUGAAGGAGCUUGGUCACCACCGGAGACGAGGACUACAAGUGGGGCAUUGACUAAAGUGAUCAGCCUGCGAAUGGAAUUUGUGAUUUUUGUGCUUCGCCUGAGGAAUAGCAGUGAAAAUGUGAAAUCGAUAGAGGAAGAAGGUGAUUUGCAGAAUAGGAGAGGAUGUUCAUAGGAAAGAAAUACCUCAUUUCAUUUUGCUCUUUUAACGAUUUCACAUGUCAUUUAAUCAAUCCACACUAUUUUUGUUUUGGAGCUGGCCAGUGAUAAAUGCAUACUGUUUUCAUGGCAACAUUUCUAGCCCGCUGUCUAUAUUAUAAAGCUGGUUUUCCUGUUGCUUGAUUGCGUUGUGAACAUCUUUAGGGGAUAUCGAAUCUCUGCCAUUUAUCAAAGAUUUCAUGUCAAUUGUCCUAUACUAUCAUGUAGUGGGAACUUCAUAUUCUUGUGACAAUGCUUCUCAAGUUAGCACCUGAAAUUGAUGAACCUUUUUUCCUUGUGGUAACUUAUUUACUUUGUUCUCCCAUUUUCCUGUGCAGAAUUUUAGAGAGUAAAAGAACUGAGCCAUGACAGUAGGGAGUCCCAGCAAUACUGUCUCAACAUACCAACAAGCUAAAGUUAAUUUCCUGAUAUUGUGACUGAGUAGAGAUGUCUGGGAAAUUUGUACUCAAUAGUCAAUGCUCUUUUUAACACCCAGAGUGAUUGAUAGUAAUAUUUGAGAAACUUGGAGCCACGGACACUUAUAACAUGUCUUUGGAUAAAGCUGGGAUGGGAGUAAUAAUAGCAUUACUUGAAACUAGAAGUAGUAAUAGCAUAACUUGAAACUAGGAGUAGUACCAGCAUAACUUGAAGUUCUUUCAGCAAGAGUGUCAGGUCCAAAUUUGUCCUAUCUCGUGUGAUUAGUGUAGUCUAAAAUUUUUUGCCAAGCAUUUAAACUAAAGGUUGGCGCGCAGGCAAUAAUAUAAACAAAAAACUAAGUUAUAUGGAUUUAAGGGACAGUUUUGAAAUUAGGAAGUAAAUGGGAAUUAGUAAUUAAAUAUUGUGCAAGAGUGAUGUCAUCAAGAUAUAAUUAAGAAAUAAUUAAAUAAAUAAGUAAAACAAGUAACGUAUGCAAGAAUUAUAUUUUAUAUUAUAGUUGAAAUAAAAGAUGAUAGCUUUUACCGAUCAAAGACAGAUAGUGCAGCUCACAAGAUUUCUAAAAUUUGAAUAUAAUUGAAUACAUCGAACAUCAAAAUUGUUUUGCUAAAAGAAAAAUUCAUGUCUACUCCAUAGGCAUGACAUUAAUGGGUAUUGAACUUGUACGCAGUAUGGAGGCAUUGUGCCUGGCAGAUUUGCAGAAGAAAUGACGAUGGCAUUAUUUGGUCAUGUGCAUAUAACACAUGCACAUGGCCAUGGUUGAUUACACUUCUAUCGUUGCACGCGAUGGCUCGGUGUCAGUGGCUUAUGACUAUUCACGAUGGCAACUGAGCAGCAUGCAUCGAUAAUGAAAGUGUUCGACAAUACAGGAGGCAUGCGGUGACGCAUAUAUGAGGUGAGCAGUGGUGCGGAUGGGGGAUGCAUGGCCAGCGAGCGGUGGGAAAGCAUGCGGCAAGCUAGAUGUUGCCUGUCGAGGCCCUAGGGAAGAAUGCAACUUGGCCUCCUACUCGGCGAGGGCUAUUGGAGUGUUAUCCUGCUAUAGUUUGUGAGACUCAUUCCACAUUGUGCCACGUACGAAAGGUUUGGUAGUUGUUGGGGGUGUGAGGUGAACGGAGCAUCCAGCCAAACAGUUCAUGACAUCACGAAAAAGAGCACAAUCGGAGGCGACUACUCAAUUAUAUACUGUCGUACCUGCAUGCUUUCUACAAGAUUUGUGGAGACGCGCCUUAUUUCUUUGCUAAAUGCGGGGACAUUUCGAUCUUCACGCAUGUUUGGUCGUGUUACUCAUAAACUUUAUACUUGUUAUUUCUCAAUUAGUUAUUUUCAUAACCUAUGAGUGAGACUCAUUCCACAUUGCGUGACACACAAAGAUUUGGUUGCCAUUGAGGUGUGAGGUGAAUGGAAAUUUUGGCAGUUUCAA